rnacentral:rRNA from 1 species
ACGAAGGGGGCUAGCGUUGUUCGGAAUUACUGGGCGUAAAGCGCGCGCAGGCGGUCUUCCAAGUCAGUGGUGAAAGCCCGGAGCUCAACUCCGGAACUGCCAUUGAAACUGUAAGACUUGAGGAUGAGAGAGGUGAGUGGAAUUCCCAGUGUAGAGGUGAAAUUCGUAGAUAUUGGGAAGAACACCGGUGGCGAAGGCAGCUCACUGGCUCAUAUCUGACGCUCAGGCGCGACAGCGUGGGGAUCAAACAGGAUUAGAUACCCUGGUAGUCCACGCCGUAAACGAUGAAUGCUAGCCGUUGGGCAGCUUGCUGUUCAGUGGCGCAGCUAACGCAUUAAGCAUUCCGCCUGGGGAGUACGGCCGCAAGGUUG